rnacentral:rRNA from 1 species
AUGGGCUGCCAACUGCAGUGCGCGUCGGGCACCCGGUGCCGACAAUUAACGGGAGGGCGGUGCAGUGCGCGUCAAGCGUCCCGCGCGCGUGCUCUGGUCCUACCUCACCCUCCCCUCAUCCGCAUCGGGGCCGGCAGAUCUGGCCUGGUGCUUCCCUCUGGCCGACUCCCUCCUUCCGCUCCGGCCGGCGAGCCACGGCUGCGGGCUUCCAGCGCCCUGGGGUGGCUGUGGGGGCCUGGCCUCGUGGCUGCCUCGGCGGCGGUUCCACCCGCCGUUCCGCUGGGCUGGGCGCAGCGCCCCCUGCUCCCACGCUCUUGCGCCGGCCUCCGUCGCCUCCCGCCCUCAAUCUCGCGCCGUCGACCGCCUGCUGCGCGCUCUCGCAUCCCGCCUCGCGCAGAUCCAUCUGCCGCGUCUCCCGCCUCCACCGCCCCCGCCCUAUUCGUUGUCGUCGUGCUCCUUUGCGAGCUUGCCAAACGAAGGUGGCGUCGUGGCUCCUUCUCCUUGGAGCCCUUCAUCUCCCAGUCCCUCGGUGGGCUGCCGCUGUCUCAUAGCCUUUCCUGCUGGGGGCGCCGCACCGGUGGUCCUCACUGGUGGCUCUCGGCGUCAAGGGUGCCGGCCGGCGUCUCUGCUGGUCGGAUUCACCUGGAUCUGGGGCCGUCCAGUUUCAGCGCUGCCCCGCGCUAUUGGCGGCUGCUCUGCGUCUCGUCGCGUGGAGGGUGUGACCGGGGUUUGGGAGAAAUCCAUGGUCGGCCAGCUGCUGCUGGCCGAGACAGUGGCGACGCUUCACGUCGUUCCCAUCUUGAUGGCGUUGUCUUCAUCCCCCGGUCUUGUGAUGUUUUGGGUGUGCUCUGUGGUGUUCUUUGCUUGGUGAUGCCCUUCGACUACGCCGGUGGCACACAGGUGCCGUGGCGUCGUCUCGGCCCGGCAUGA